rnacentral:rRNA from 1 species
CUCCACGCCGUAAGCCCAAGGUUUCCUGUUCAACGUUCAUCGGAGCAGGGUGAGUCGGCCCCUAAGGCGAGGCAGAGAUGCGUAGCUGAUGGGAAGCAGGUUAAUAUUCCUGCACCGUCGUAUGAUGCGAUGGGGGGACGGAUCGCGGAAGGUUGUCCAACUGUUGGAAUAGUUGGUUUUUGGCUCAUAGAAGGCGCUUAGGCAAAUCCGGGCGCGUAAUUCAAGGGGUUGAGACGAGUGAACUUGUUCACGAAGCAAUCGGAAGUGGUUCCAAGAAAAGCCUCUAAGCUUCAGUCAUACGAGACCGUACCGCAAACCGACACAGGUGGGUGAGAUGAGUAUUCUAAGGCGCUUGAGAGAACUCGGGAGAAGGAACUCGGCAAAUUGGUACCGUAACUUCGGGAAAAGGUACGCCCCGGUAGCUUGGUCACUUUACUGUGAUAGGGCGAAAGGGUUGCAAUAAACUGGUGGCUGCGACUGUUUAAUAAAAACACAGCACUCUGCAAACACGAAAGUGGACGUAUAGGGUGUGACGCCUGCCCGGUGCUGGAAGAUUAAAUGAUGGGGUGCAAGCUCUUGAUUGAAGUCCCAGUAAACGGCGGCCGUAACUAUAACGGUCCUAAGGUAGCGAAAUUCCUUGUCGGGUAAGUUCCGACCUGCACGACUGGCGUA